AAUAAAGAUAAAAUAAAGAUAAAGAAAUGUAAAAGAAGGGCACACAGAUCGUUUACUGGAGGAAUCUUUCGUCACUUUCCUGUUCUUUCUCUCUUCUUUAUUGCUCUUUGGUUAUCUUCAUAU
rnacentral:ribozyme from 1 species